UUACCCAAUCCCGACACGGGGAGGUAGUGACAAUAAAUAACAAUGUAGGGCCCUUUCGGGUCUUACAAUUGGAAUGAGUACAAUUUAAAUCCCUUAACGAGGAACAAUUGGAGGGCAAGUCUGGUGCCAGCAGCCGCGGUAAUUCCAGCUCCAAUAGCGUAUAUUAAAGUUGUUGCAGUUAAAAAGCUCGUAGUUGAACUUCAGACCUGGCUGCAUGGUCCGCUUAACGGCGUGUACUGUAUGGCUGGGUCUUACCUCUUGGUGAGCCGGCGUGCCCUUUAUUGGUGUGCGUCGGGGAACCAGGACUUUUACCUUGAGAAAAUUAGAGUGUUCAAAGCAGGCCUAUGCCCGAAUACAUUAGCAUGGAAUAAUAAAAUAGGACGUGCGGUUCUAUUUUGUUGGUUUCUAGAGUCGCCGUAAUGAUUAAUAGGGAUAGUUGGGGGCAUUGGUAUUGAGUCGCUAGAGGUGAAAUUCUUGGAUUGACUCAAGACCGACUAUUGCGAAAGCAUUUGCCAAGGAUGUUUUCAUUAAUCAAGAACGAAGGUUAGGGGAUCGAAAACGAUCAGAUACCGUUGUAGUCUUAACAGUAAACAAUGCCGACUAGGGAUCGGGCGACCUCAAUUUUUAUGUGUCGCUCGGCACCUUACGAGAAAUCAAAGUCUUUGGGUUCUGGGGGG
rnacentral:rRNA from 1 species